CUUAUAUCCGGUUCGGAGAAAAAUGGUUGAUCAAAGAUCACGAAGACGUAAACAAACAGUUUUAAUACUUUUUAUGGACAAUCGAUGAAUAUUUAUAGUAUGCUGCACCAUUACAAUCAAAGCGACCUAGAAGAAAAAGAAGUAAAAGCUCUACAGAAUCAGUUAAUGCAAGAUCUAAGAAACGAGUAUCUGAAUCAUCCAGCUCAUCUGACUCUGAUAUAGUUGACACUGAACUUCAAAGACCUGCUCCACUUCGCAAUAGGAGAACAAGGCUGAGACCAACCAAAUUUUUGGGUAGAAGUAUCAAACAGGAAUGGAUAAUCGAUGAACAAUUAGGUAAAAAAGAGUGGUACAAAGGAACUAUUCUUUCUGUAUUGUCUGGGACUGAUGGUAAUUUGAAUGCUGUUUAUGAGAUCAAAUAUGAAGGAGAGGAUGAGGCUUAUGAAAUAGACCAUUUAAUUCAAGAUUACCAGUCUGGAUCUGUUGAGUUUUGUGAUGUAUAGAUUAACUUCAGUUUAGAUAAACAGGAUUUUGGGAACUUGGAAAAACAGUAGAAUUUUUUGAAGCAUAGACUACUAAUUUGAAGAAUAUUGGACCUGUGAACAUUUCAUGUUGUUUGUAAAUGAUAUUUUAUGUUAGUACUCAUCACAAGGAAGAUUUUGAUGUAUAAUAUGGUAUGCUAUAUAAACUGAAUAUGUAUUUAUUGAA